AACUGCGGAGAUGACAAUACGGCUGUGCCUCCUGACGCCUGUACUGUGCAAUCCUCUGAUACAUACAAGCCGGGGGAAUACGAAAAUAAACACUAAUAUGGUCUUGGAAUUAAGUUAGCCAUUUCCACUCUACCAGCUGUUAGUAGCUAGGAACAGGAACCCAAAUAGGCAAACCCAUCGUGCCCCGUGAAAAAAAAAAAAUCCUGGAUGCCACUGCUAGACAGUCUGUUCGUUCUGUCGGAUUUUGCAAUUACGUAUAAUGACUUAAUUAACCAGUUAUUUUUAGAUUCCACGAUAUAAUAAAGGCUGAUUGCAUGGAGGGAGAAUCUCCACCCGACUGUGCUAUCGAUAUAGCUCUCCCAACGCGCAAAACUGCUGCAAUCAGUAGUGAGCAUCAAUACAGCGCUUACCUUCUGCAGAAGCUGGGAACCUGAGUACUUAGCAGCUAUGGAUUUGAUCUCCCCACCGAACGCCGAGGCCCAAAGCUUCACCCUAGCAGGACAAGACAUAGAGAGAGAUGUAGUAUACCGGCAUCACACGGAUAGUAGCAUAAACCACGAAAAAGCUUAGUUACACGCAUCAUAAAUAUCAAGACAGUUAAGCUACUUGCAAAACCAAAGCAUUAAUACAUCUAGCUCCCAAGAAAAGAUUGUGAGGAUGCACGCGCCUGUUUGCUAAAAUUAGUGAGCCAGAGCUUCCUGGGAUAAAAUCAAUUAAGCAGAGAGGAAACAUCGAAAGGCAAACGGGCUGACGCGCUUGAAUAUUUUAUGACACUACAGGAACAGCGUAACGUAUGGCUGAGAGAGCUAGUAAGUGUAAGCUUGCUUCCACCCAAAAAGUCCUGAGGAAGCUAUUUUCUGCGAAACCAGUUCACAAGAAGACAUGAAGGAGUUUUAUGGAUUUUACCAACUGAUACUCUUAUACAAUUUGUGGCUACACUAUAUUUAACCUUUAAUCCUAAAGCUCUUGUAUCUAUUUCUGUUGACCCUGUUUGCUAAUAGGGUGUCCUUGUGUGUUACAUGUUAUCGUAUUUUAACUUUUGUAAUAAAGAAACUUUUGUAUUGUUAAA